UAGGUGCCAGUAACGCUGCAGCCGUGACCAAGAGGGGUGAGGGGGAUGGAAGCAACCGGAUGGAGGAGGAGGAGCAGGAGUGCAGCUCAGGUGAGGGUGGAGAGAUCUCUGAUGUCAGGGGGGCUGUGGCAGAGGGUAAGGGGAGCAAUCAAGUACAGCGCACAGAUGCUCUGUGUGGUUUAAGCUAGUUGGAAAAUAAUCUUCAAGUGAUGGAACAGUCCAUGUGCUAUUGAUUUGCCAAGCCCAUUUCAAGUAUGAGGCUAAGCCCAUUAUGAUUGUUUCUGAUGUGUUUGUUUCCUGGAUGAAUGAAUAAGAUUUUACUCACUGGCACACUGUGAAUGCCCUGCGCACUGAAACCACAUGCAUCCCUUAGAAGCAGAACAAGUGAUUCAGGAAUACUUACUCCAUUACGCUGAUCUUUUGGUAUAAACUUCCUUUUGUAGUUGUGGUUCAAGGCAGUCAGGCUUGAAGAAAACUUUCAUUUUUAGUAUUAUCUAGUUGAGUGCCUAGAUUUUAAGAGAACUGCCAACUGAAGGGGUUAGCUUGGGUGGUGGGGGUAUUUAGUGUGUGUCUGAAAAAUAAUUAAAGUCAUAAACUGAUUUAAAUAAAAGCAGAUGCAUGCUUUGGACAUGAACAAAAACAUAUUUGGGGAUACAAAGUACUAGACUAGUACAGCACAGAUGACUAAUGCAGGAAUUUUAUUUAGCAUGUGUCCUAAUGUCUGCACAACUUGAUGGGUUACUUAUGGUUUCUCAGUCUCAAACUACAUGUGACAGAAGCAGAAUUGUUUGCUUCAAUCUCUAUUUGCCCCAGUUACCUGUGAAGAGGGGUGGGUGCAUGUCAAGUUCUUAGGGCAAAGGGAGCAUGUUGUGUGCGGGUGUGCGUGCACCUUCCCUUCCCCCCUCCUGUUUCUUGAGCACUUGGAAUUUUGUAAACAUCCCGUCCAGCCAAUCAGCUGUAAGUACAAUAGAUUUAGUGUUUCCCAGUUUGUGUGAAAAGCAAACACUACAGAAAUCAAAUUACUGUAAAUGCCCUCAGUAGUGCCAUAGGAGCUACAGAAAGCUUGGACGAGCUUACCAGUUCGCCUCCUCUCAUACUGCAUAUCAAAUUCCUUCAGUUUGUGUAUUAAAAGAGACUAUAAAUGGCUUUUAUAGACAGUAAUACAAGAAGUUUUACAGAACAACGAGAAGAAGGAACUCAACCCCCAUCUCACUGUAUAUGCAGCUAAUGUCUGGUACCCCAAAACUGCACCCGGCUAGCUGAGAAGAGAGGAAGAAGAGAGCCAACAGACAACCAGGGUAUGUCUGAAAUUUUUUCCAACUGCGAUUAUCUAUAAUUCUUCCUGGUUUCUCUUGAAAUACGAAAUGCUAAAAGAAGUGCAGCAAAUGUAAGAAAGAGAGAAGAUGGUCUAUGCAUCACACCAGACGGACAGAAGGUAAACGCUUUAACGUUUGGAAACUCCUUCCCAAAUGCUAGACUUUGAUUCAAAAGAGAUGGCAAAUGAAUUAAGAACUUGGGAUAACUAAUACACUGUGUACAGGCACUGCCAGCAAGUAGGAUUCCAAACCCAGUAGGAACGUCUGGUUCCCUAAACUGCAACUGGAAUGCAAGUGAGGAAGACCUUGUGAGUUUCCUGAAUGGAGUCAGUCUGUCAACAGAAUCCAUGUAAAAAAUAGUUUCAACACUGUGAGGGGCAGCAGUGCCUCAGGUGGAAUAUCUGGCUUAUUCCUGAAGGUACUAAGAAACACUUGCAGGACACCUUAUCAUUCCACAUGCCCUUUGGAGCAGAGGUGGGCAUCCUUCAGCCUUGUGGGAUUCACUAUGUCUUUUACUGGGAUCCUGAGGCCUAUCAACUGGUGCACAACAUUGGCUCAUGGGGGUGGGCAUAAACUUAGAUUAAGGAACAGGGUGCCUCUGAGCAUAUGUUCAGCUGAGGAAUUUGUCUUCAGUAUCAGAACUGAACUAGUCUUUCAACAUAAAAAUCCACUCCUGAUUUUCCUCCAAGUGUUCUUAGUUUCUUGGAUUUUUCUCCAAGUGUACUUAGCCUAAUUGUGUGUGCAGGCGGGGAGUGAACACCUUUUUGCUGUAGCUAUUGUCAAACAGUUAAGAGUUAAACACCUGCUGAUCUACUACAAAUCAGCCAGAGACCUACCUUCUGUCCUCUCCUACUUAGAGAACAAGAAUCUUCUGGACUCUGGAGCUUAACAGUAGAUAUUGAGGACAGGACUUUUUCAGAAGAUUCCAAUGGUCAUGAAAGGGACCAAAGUUCUCAUAUUAAAUAACAUAUUUAGGAUUUCAUGUACAUCAGUCUUGCUAACUGGACAAAGAGGCACUUUUUAAAGUUGUAACUCUCUUGUAUUUAGCAUGAGAAAAGCAAUUGUUCUUAUCCAACCCCAGCACAGCUUUUUUCCAGUUUCUGUUGCUAAUGUCUGCCUUCAAUUUCUUUUUAGAUUGUGAGUCCUUUUGGGACGGGAAGCCAUCGUAUACCUUUUACUAUAGCAACAGUUUUGAGAAUGGCUAAUUGAAAAAUGGCAACAAAUAUUUUAAAUAAAUUAGUGGUGGUGGUGGUGGUGGUGGUGGUGGUGGUAGUAGUAGUAGUAAUAAACAGCCAGUUAGAAAAGGAUUAUUCCCCCUUCCUAUAGACAAUAUGAGACUUGCUUCAUAUUAGUACUAUUCGUGUGUGCAUUUGUGUAUAUCAUGUGUGUUGCACAAAUGCACAUGAGACGAAUUUGUGUUGGAUCAUGGCUAUUAGCCAGGUGAACCAAAUGGAACCUCCAUGUUUAAAAGAAGUAUACCUCUCAAUACCAGAAGGUCUACGAUGGAGGCAAACCAUGGAGGACAGCUGUUGUUGCUGUACUUUGGGCUCCCCCAAAGUAAUUGGUUGACUACAGCUGGAGGUCGGCUGGACUCAAUAGGCCCUUGAUCUAAUCCUGCAGGGCUCUAAUAUUCAUAUAUAUGUGGGAGCUUAUGUGCAUAUGCACAUGUGAGUGUGAAUGUGUAUGUGCAUCUUUAUGGUGGGCAGAGGGAGCAGCCUCUAUCUCCUCCCACCAUGACGCAUCAUUCUACAUCACUACUUAACUAUUACAUAUACCUCCAUUGUGCUUAAUGGAUUUCCAAGAAAUAAAUCUGUAACAUUUAAA